UACGUAGGUGGCAAGCGUUGUUCGGAAUUAUUGGGCGUAAAGGGCGCGUAGGCGGCCUUGUAAGUCAGCUGUGAAAGCCCGGGGCUCAACCCCGGAGGGUCGGCUGAUACUGCAGGGCUAGAGUACGGAAGAGGUAGCUGGAAUUCCCGGUGUAGCGGUGGAAUGCGCAGAUAUCAGGAGGAACACCAAUAGCGAAGGCAGCUCGCUGGGACGGUACUGACGCUGAGGUGCGAAAGCGUGGGGAGCAAACAGG
rnacentral:rRNA from 1 species